GUGCUUGCUUUGACAGCACAGAUACUAAAAUUGGAAUGAUACAGAGACCAGCGCGCCCCUGCUCAAGGAUGACAUGCAAAUUUGUGAAGAGUUCCACAUUUUU
ensembl:snRNA U6 U6 spliceosomal RNA